rnacentral:rRNA from 1 species
UACGUAGGGUGCAAGCGUUGUCCGGAAUUAUUGGGCGUAAAGAGCUCGUAGGCGGUCUGUCGCGUCGGAUGUGAAAAUCCAGGGCUCAACCCUGGACCUGCAUUCGAUACGGGCAGACUAGAGUUCGGCAGGGGAGACUGGAAUUCCUGGUGUAGCGGUGGAAUGCGCAGAUAUCAGGAGGAACACCGAUGGCGAAGGCAGUUCUCUGGGCCGUAACUGACGCUGAGGAGCGAAAGCGUGGGGAGCGAACAGG